CUCUGUCUCUGCAGCAGCUGCAGCCUCUCAGAAAGUCGUCUGUUGUCUUCCUUCAGGGUCUGACACUCCUCCUUCAGCAUACGGCACUCCUCCUUCAGCAGGUCCACAUCACCUGCCAGAACAAGGAAGGUCAGAGAUGAAGAUAUUACAGUAAGAUGCAGUCCCACCACAGGCUCAGCUGCAGAACCGAGCAAUGACAUCAUGUGUUAGAACGUGGUGAUCUCCAGCUCAUACUCCUGGGUGUCCUCGCUGAGGCGCUGCAGCUCAGCCCGACGGCGGCACAGCUCCUCCUGCAGUGAGGCUAUGUCAUUCUCCCUCUCUGCCGCGGCCUCCUCUGCCGCCUGUUGAAGCAGGAGCACCUCCUCCUGAGCCGCACGCAGCUCCUCUUGGGCCUCGAGCAGCUCGCUCUCCUUCUCCUCCUCCAGGCUGUCCAUCUCUUCCUGCACAGAACGCAGCUGGGCUUUGGGGAGAGGAGGAGGAGAAUGUUCGUUUUUUUUAUGGGGAUGUGUGGGUGAGACUAUACAGUGUCAGUAUGGGUGUAUAUGUAUGUGUGUGAAUAUGAUCUUACCUGAGUUUUGCAGCAGUGGGCCUGCAUGUGUUUGUGCAUGUGGGUGGUGUGCUCGUGCUUGUGUGUGUGGGUAUGUUUGAAAGAGCAGCUGAUGUAACUGAUGGCAACAGACUUUUUUUAAGGGUCAG